rnacentral:rRNA from 1 species
AUUGAACGCUGGCGGCAGGCCUAACACAUGCAAGUCGAGCGGAUGAAGGGAGCUUGCUCCUGGAUUCAGCGGCGGACGGGUGAGUAAUGCCUAGGAAUCUGCCUGGUAGUGGGGGAUAACGUCCGGAAACGGGCGCUAAUACCGCAUACGUCCUGAGGGAGAAAGUGGGGGAUCUUCGGACCUCCCGCUAUCAGAUGAGCCUAGGUCGGAUUAGCUAGUUGGUGGGGUAAAGGCCUACCAAGGCAACGAUCCGUAACUGGUCUGAGAGGAUGAUCAGUCACACUGGACCUGAGAACCGUCCCGACCUCUACGGGAGGCAGCAGUGGGGAAUAUUGGACAAUGGGCGAAAGCCUGAUCCAGCCAUGCCGCGUGUGUGAAGAAGGUCUUCGGAUUGUAAAGCACUUUAAGUUGGGAGGAAGGGCAGUAAGUUAAUACCUUGCUGUUUUGACGUUACCAACAGAAUAAGCACCGGCUAACUUCGUG